UGGGGAAUAUUGCGCAAUGGGCGAAAGCCUGACGCAGCAACGCCGCGUGAGUGAUGAAGGCCUUCGGGUCGUAAAGCUCUGUCGGAGGGAACGAAUGCUCCUGAAGUUAACAGCCUCAGGAGGUGACGGUACCCUCAAAGGAAGCCACGGCUAACUCUGUGCCAGCAGCCGCGGUAAUACAGAGGUGGCAAGCGUUGUUCGGAAUUACUGGGCGUAAAGGGCGCGUAGGCGGCAAUUCAAGUCAUCUGUGAAAUCUCCGGGCUUAACUCGGAACGGUCAGAUGAUACUGCUUUGCUAGAGUGCGGAAGGGGCAAUCGGAAUUCUUGGUGUAGCGGUGAAAUGCGUAGAUAUCAAGAGGAACACCUGAGGUGAAGACGGGUUGCUGGGC
rnacentral:rRNA from 1 species